rnacentral:rRNA from 1 species
UGGGGAAUAUUGGACAAUGGGGGAAACCCUGAUCCAGCAAUGCCGCGUGUGUGAAGAAGGCCUUCGGGUUGUAAAGCACUUUCAGUUGGGAGGAAGGGUGUAAUGCUAAUACCAUUACACAUUGACGUUACCGACAGAAGAAGCACCGGCUAACUCUGUGCCAGCAGCCGCGGUAAUACAGAGGGUGCAAGCGUUAAUCGGAAUUACUGGGCGUAAAGCGUGUGUAGGUGGUUGGAUAAGUUAGAUGUGAAAUCCCCGAGCUUAACUUGGGCAUUGCGUUUAAGACUGUUCGGCUAGAGUACUGUAGAGGAUAGUGGAAUUUCCAGUGUAGCGGUGAAAUGCGUAGAUAUUGGAAGGAACACCAGUGGCGAAGGCGACUAUCUGGAUAGAUACUGACACUGAGACACGAAAGCGUGGGGAGCAAACAGG